GGCUACAUAAAUAUGUUCUUUUGAGAAGUGUCUGUUCGUAUCCUUUGCCCACUUUUUGAUAGGGUUGACAAACAAGUUUAUUUACUCCUCCUUUGAUUUGUCAAUUGGAGAAACAGCUCUUCCAACAGGAAUUCCUAGUAGUACCAAGCUGCCCAAUCCCCUUGUUGGGAAGAGAUAUUAUGGUUAAAAUAGGGGCACUACUACAAUUUAAGCAUCACCCAGUGAAAAUGCUGAUAGUUCAAAAAUACAAUGUUCCAGACCACAUUAAUAAACAGCUUAACCCAUUGGCAUUGGUAUACUGGAAAACUAGGGAAGGCUAAAACAGCAGGGCCAGUCAAAAUACAGUUUGAAGACCUCAGCUACUUUCCCAAUCAAAAACAGGAAGCAAGAAAAGGCCUAGGACCUAUCGUUGAGGUGUUACUUAUUAUAUUGUCUCCUAAAACCCUGUAAUUCUCCUUGCAAUACCCCCAUCUUACCCACUGUAAAGCCUUUGGGGAAAUACCAGUUAGUAUAUGACCUCAGAAUAAUUAAUGAGGCUAUUGCUCCCAUCUACCCACUGGUGGCAGAUCCAUAGGCCCUUAUGGCUCAGGUACCAGGGGAUGCAAAAUGGUUCAGUCCUAGACCUAAAAGAUGCUUUCUUCUCCAUUCCUCUGGCCCCAGAGUCCCAAUACCUCUUUGCCUUCGAAUGGGAAGAUCCUAAUACCAGGGGAAAACAAUAAUAUACUUGGACAGUGCUCCCUCAGGGCGUUGAGGAUAGCCGCCACUUCUUUGCCCAAGCCUUAGAGAGGGACCUGAGGGAUCUGAAAUUGAAAAACGGGAGUAUACUCUAGUAUGUGGAUGACCUUCUUGUGUGUAGCCCAACCCAGGAGGUUUCUGACCAAACUACUAUAAAAACUUUGAAUUUCUGGUCAGAUAGGGGAUACAAAGUGUCCAACAAGAAGGUACAGAUUACCCUUCAAUGGAUGCAAUACUUAGGGUAUGUCUUAACACCCAGAGCCUGACAAAUAUCCCCAGAACGAGUGCAAGCCACAUGUGGUUUGCCCCCUGCCACCCCCCUCCCCAAAACACAUACACCAAGUAGUAGCUUUGUUCUUUUUCGGGAAUGGUGGGGCUUUGCAGAAUAUGGGUACCAAAUUUCAUACUCAUAGCAAAGGCCCUGUAUGAAGCAACAAAGGGGCCUGAAAAUGAGCUAAUGGAAUGAACCCCAGAAAUGAGAGAAGCCUUUGCCAAGUUAAAACAGGCUCUCACCCAGGCUCCUGUUCUUGGCAUCCCAGAUGUAACUGAGCCCUUCUCUUUGUAUGUAGCGGAGAAGAAGGGAAUAGCUGUGGGUGUAUUCCACAGAAAUUAGGAUCAGAACCCAGGCCAACCAACUACUUUUCAAAGAAGUUGGAUGGAGUGGUCUUGGGGUGGCCAAGUUGCCUAUGGGCAAUAGCAGCCACUGCUAUGUUAGUGGAGGAAGCCAGUAAAAUUGCCCUGAGCCAACCACUGGAAGUUCUAACCCCCUCGCUAGGUUAAGUCAGUCUUAGAGAUAAAGGGAUAUAUCUGGAUGAGAGGGGAAAGAUUAGCCAAAUACCAGGCUAUGGCAGUAGUUUUGUGUCAAGUGGGGUUUGACACAGCACUGAGCUGGAUAUGCAGUAGUAAAUCACAACACAAUUAUCGAAACCCAGCCACUGCUCCUUGGCACAUCAGCACAAAAGGCUGAAAUCAUUGCUCUUGAGUAUUAAUGUUGGGACAAGGAAAAAAACAACAUCUAUACAGAUUCUAAAUAUGCAUUUCUUGUAGUUCAUGCUCACGCUACAAUCUGGAAAGAAAGGGGAUUACUAACUAGCAAACAGUCCCCUAUAAAGGAUGGGCUUGAAAUUCUUCAGCUAUUGGAAGCAAUACACUUGCCAAAGGCCAUGCUACAGUUCAUUGUGGGGCAUCAAAGGGACUUAACCCCUACAGCACAAGGGAACAGAAAGGCUGACAGAGAAGCCAAAGCCACAGCCCACAGAGUGCAAUCCCAACAGAUCCUAGCACUGCUGCGUUUCUAUGAUUCCCCAGUAGAACCUGAGUACACACUAUAGGAAGAAUAGUUAAUAAAGGAAUAAGGGGGACAAAAAGAAAAAAGAAAGGAACCUGGUAGUAGAUGGGGUCAAAAAUAUAUCUCCCUCAGACAGCCCAGUGGAAAAGUAUAAAAGCCAUGCAUGCGUCUUUCCAUGUGGGGAGGGAUGCAACUCUGGCCAUGUUAAACCAGAUCUUUACUGGGUCUAAUGGCUUCAGUGGCUAAGCAGGUCUGCCAAGACUGCUCACUGUGUGCACUUAACAACCCAGGAAACAACAUGCCUCCUCUAACAGAACCAGUGCAGAGGAGAGGAAGUUAUCCAGGGCAAGAUUGGCAGUUAGACUUCAUAUGCCAGCUUGCAGAGGAUAUGUGUUUUUUUUAGUACUAAUAGAUAGCUUUACUGGUUGGGUUGAAGCUUACCCUACCACAAUAGAGAAGGUUAAUGAGGUUAUAAAGUUUCUAUUAAAAGAAAUAAUCCCUGGGUUUGGGUUACCUCAGAACCUCCAAAGUGAUAAUGGCCUGUCCUUUAUCUCCCAAAUAACUCAAGGGUUUGCUAAGGCUUUUGGAAUCAAGUAUUAUUUACAUGUAACAUGGAGCCCUCAAUCCUCUGGGAAGGGAGAAAGGGCUAACCAAACUCUAAAACCAGUGUUGCUAAGCUAUGUAAGGAAACAUCAGAAAUUUGGGUCAGCUUACUGCCCAUAACCCUCUUAAGGAUACAUAAUACCCUUAGAGCAAAAAUUAAUAUAAGCCCAUAUGAAUCUUAUUAUUCUUGACUAAUGAUUUAAUUACUGAUCCAGAAAGGGCUGAUUUAGUAAAAUACCUAACCAACCUAGGACAAUUUCAGCAGGCUUUACAAAAAUGGAAUUCAAAGGCUUCCCACACCGGGAACAACUAGCAACCUAAAAUCAGGCCAGGAGAUAAGGUACUUGUUAAAAUGUGGAAGGAGCGAUCACCAGCUCAGCAAUUACAACCAAAAUAGAAGGGACUGUUUUCAGUGGUACUGGCCAUGCCUUCUGCAGUCAAAGUACUAGGAUUAGACAGCUAGAUACAUCUUUCAAGGAUUAAGACAGCAAUACCAGAAGACCUGGAGCAGGAACCUCAAGUUCCCAUCUGUCACUAGACUUGUGAACCUGUGGAAGACCUGAAGUACCUGUUUAGAAGACAGCCAAAAGAUAAGUAAACGCCUACCAAUUUUCCUUGGUGUCUUUGUUGCAUAGUUACUAUAGGCUAGAGUAACAGUAACCACUUACAAUUUUUUUUUUUCUUUUGCAGUUUAAUUGACUUCUUCCAAAUGGAUGGAAUCACUUCCUUUGUAGUAAUUAUGCAAAAUGUUUUAAUACAUUUCUAUAACAAACAUUCCUGAUGGCAUAGGUAUCCACCUCCAAAGUUCCCAUUAUAUCUUUUAACCAAAUUCAUUUCCCCUUGCAUUAGAGACUGUCAAGCUUCAGACGAUCAUGUGACAAGGUUUCCAGCCAGUUCCAGGUGAAGACACCACCCCUGGCCAUCAAGAAGCCACCCCAUCUCCACUAGGCAGAGUAGGGCGAGAGUUCCAUGAUCUCCAACAGAUGUCCCAUGAUUCCUCAUGGUGUGCAUUCUCGCUUGCUGCAACAAGGAAAUAAACCCAACUACAAGUGUGUUCCCGGUAGUCUUUAGCUGAAGAGCAUUGAGGCUGGAGAAUCCAGAAGAAUUCAAGAGCUGGAGACAGCUUACUUGUUAGGACACUAAAAACAGACCUAUCUUUCAAGGGUGAAUUUAUAUUAGCCACAGACAGAAACUGAUGGAUAAAUAACAUUACUAAUUUAUUAAUUUAUGAAAAAGAAAGUUUAGAAGAGUCAGAAAAGGCAAAUGUAUAGAGUGAGAAAAGAGAUGAAUGGUUUCCUGAAGGUGACUGUGGAAAGGGGGGUUAAAUGUUAAAGGGCAUGAGGGGUCUUACUGAGGGGUGAUAGAAAUGUCCUAAAAACUGUAUGAUUGUGAUGAUCACACAGCUUGAUAAAUUUACUAAAAAUCAUUGGACACUUAAAAUGAGUGAAUUGCAUGGUAUGUAAAUUAUAGCUCAAUGAAGUUGUUAAAACAACAAUGAUAAUCCGGAGGAGAACAGCUACUUGAAUCCAUCCAGCAAAUAUUCUCCUUCUGUAGAUAGCCAAUGGUCAACAAAAAUGAAAACAUGUUCAAUCUCAUUAUUUAUCAAGAAACUACAAAUUGAAACCUCAAUGAGAGGCAGCAAUUACAAGCAUUAAAAUAGUUAAAAUUUGAAAGACUGACAAUUCCAGUGUUGACAAGGAUGUGGAACAACUAGAAUGCUUAUACGCUGCUGCUAAUAGUUUAAGUUUGUGAAAAAUUGUUUGGGACACAUAUUCCAUAACCCAGAAAUUCCACUCCUAGCUAUAAUGCCUACAUAUAUUCACUAAAAUAUAUGUUGACCAAAACAGAACUCAAAUGCCCAUCUAUCGUAAAAUGGAUAAAGAAUUUGUAGUGUAGUUCCAUAAAAUUACUAUUAAGCACAACAACAUGUAUCCAUCUCGUAAAUAUGAUGUUAAGCAAAAGAAGUUAAACAACAAGAACACUUGUAUGAUUCCAUUUCUAUAAAGUUCAAACACAGGCAAAAUGAAUCUGGAAUGUUGGAAGUCAAGAUAGUAGUUUCCUUGUGGGAGCCGUAAGGAUGUCGUGAGUAGGAGAGGCUGGGGCUUCUGCAUUGCUGGUGAAGUUUAUGUCUUGAUCUGGGUGGGGGUUAUCUGGGUGUGGUCACUUUGUAAUAAUUCAUUAAGCUGCACAUUUAUGAUCUGUAUAUUUUUCUGUAUGUAUGUUACACUGUAAAAGAGUUUACUAAAAGAGAUAUAAUUAUUGUGAAAAAGUUGAUAAUCACUGAAAUUGAGUAUCGGGUACAUGGAAGUUGAUUAUACCAUUCCCUCUAUUUUUGUGCAUUUGAAUUUAUGAUAAAAACUUAAAAUAUA